rnacentral:rRNA from 1 species
UACGGAGGGGGCUAGCGUUAUUCGGAAUUAUUGGGCGUAAAGGGCGCGUAGGCGGCUUGGCAAGUGGAUGGUGAAAUCCCUCGGCUUAACCGAGGAACUGCCGUCCAAACUGCUUAGCUUGAGACCGGGAGAGGUGAGUGGAAUUCCCAGUGUAGCGGUGAAAUGCGUAGAUAUUGGGAGGAACACCAGUGGCGAAGGCGGCUCACUGGACCGGAACUGACGCUGAUGCGCGAAAGCGUGGGGAGCAAACGGG